rnacentral:rRNA from 1 species
AUACGUAGGUGACAAGCGUUAUCCGGAUUUACUGGGCGUAAAGGGCGUGUAGGCGGUCUUGCAAGUCAGACGUGAAAUUCCUGAGCUCAACUCGGGCGCUGCUUCUGAAACUGCAGGACUUGAGUGCUGGAGGGGAUAGCGGAAUUCCUAGUGGAGCGGUAAAAUGCGCAGAUAUUAGGAGGAACACCAGUGGCGAAGGCGACUUUCUGGACUGUAACUGACACUGAGGCACGAAAGCGUGGGGAGCAAACAGGAUUAGAUACCCUGGUAGUCCACGCCGUAAACGAUGAGCACUAGGUGUCGGGGAGACAAUCCUCGGUGCCGCAGUUAACGCAUUAAGUGCUCCGCCUGGGGAGUACGUUCGCAAGAAUAAAACUCAAAGGAAUGGGCGGGG